GACGAACGCUGGCGGUGUGCUUAACACAUGCAAGUCGAACGGAAAGGUCCGGCUUUUGGGGGGUGCUGGGGGGGCGAACGGGUGAGUAACACGUGAGUAAGCUGCCCUUGCCGUUGGGGUAACUUCAGGAAACUGGGGCUAAUACCGGAUAGGAGAUCCUGCUGCAUGGUGGGGGUCGGAUAGUUUGGGCGGUUGGGGAUGGAAUCGCGGCUUAGCAGCUUGUUGGUGGGGUAGCGGCUCACCAAGGCAUUGACGGGGGGCCCGCCUGAGAGGGUGAGCGGCGACACUGGGACUGUGAGACGCGCCAGAGUCCUACGGGAGGGACAAGUGGGGGAUAUUGCACGAUGGGGGGGAGCGCGAUGCAGAGAAGCAGCGCGCGAGAUAAGGGCGCUCGUGUUGUAAACCGCUUUCUCCUGUGACGAAACGUGAGUGACGGUAAUGGGUAAAGAAGCACCGGCUAACUACGUG
rnacentral:rRNA from 1 species